UACGUAGGGCGCAAGCGUUGUCCGGAAUUAUUGGGCGUAAAGAGCUCGUAGGCGGCCACUCAAGUCGAAUGUGAAACCUCGAGGCUUAACCUCGAGCCUGCAUUCGAUACUGGGCGGCUAGAGUCUGGUAGGGGGAUCUGGAAUUCCUGGUGUAGCGGUGGAAUGCGUAGAUAUCGCAAGAACACCAGUGGCGAAGGCGGCUCACUGGCCCGGUACUGACGCUGAGGUGCGAAAGCGUGGGGAGCAAACAGG
rnacentral:rRNA from 1 species